UGAAAUGCACAGAACCCAGAAUCGUAGGAUCCCCACUUCCCAGCGUCCGCCACGCACUGAAGCUGACGGCAGCCAUGUCGUCCUCGCCUCCGGCGCCGGCGACGGAGGAGGAGGCCGCGGCCCUCGAGGCGCCACCUGCGUAUCGGUUUGGCCCGGGACUCACCUCUUUGGCGGAGAGGCGCCGCCUGGCGCGGCUACAAGCAGCCGUGGCGAGCCAGACGGCGGCGUCGGGUUCGGGCACGGAGUCCGCAAUCUCGGAGGGAGAAGACGACGAGGGAUCAGCUGCCGCGGCGCCUGCGUAUCCCGCGGGUACCAGCGCUUGGGCGGAGAGGCGCAGCCUACGUUUGGAGCGGAUACAAGCCGAGGAGAGCCAGACGGCGUCGUCGGGUUCGGGGUCGGGCACGGAGUCCGAAACCUCGUACGAAGAACACGACGAGGGCUCGGGCUCCGGCUCCGGCUCCGGUUCCGAUUACAGCGACGAGGAAUCUGAGUACAGCGACACCGACGAGGAGGGGGUUAGGGUUCCGGCGACCACGGCGAUGGCGAUGGCGGCGGCGGCGGUGGUGGGCGAAGAGGGCGGCAGCAGCAGCGUCCAGCCGGCGGGGACCACGUGCUCCGUCUGUAUGGAACCAUGGACCUGCUACGGCGCGCAUCGCAUCUGGUCAGUGGGACGGUAUCGACUCUUUUCGGUGAUGUUUCUAGUUCAGCAGCUGAUUUUAUAAAUAACUACAGUCAGGGCCUGCAUCUGCAUGUAUGGCAGAUUCUUAGUGGAUUUGUAGUUGUAUUACGAUCAUAUCCGCACUGGGACUGACUUGGUGAUUCGAAAUCUAAUCAUCGCAAUAUAUGCAACAGUCACUCAAUUGGAAGGUGCAUACGUCUACUAACUAAUUAGUGGGGAUCAAAUUUUCUUACAAUUCCAUUUCUUCUCUUUUAUUUUGUAGGGGGCAUUGCUUGUGUUUUGAGUCAUGGCUAAAAUUGAACCUGUGGCCAAUUUCCUAGGUUAUAGGUUUUCCAUAACCGUUAAAUUGAUAAUAAACCUCUUGUCUGACCAAUGGCUAAUAUAGUGCAGAGUUGCAAUUCUGGAAAUAAUUUAUUAAUUAAAUUUUGCAUAUUAUGAGUCUGUGUUGCAUGAUCGAGGAGGAGGAGGUAGAACUUGGUGAUCAUGAAAUAUGUGGUUCAGAAUUGAGACAGGUUAUGGUUAACUUCUGAGUGUUCCGAGGUCAGGCUGGGUGUUCGGGUUUACCCGAUAUUUCAGGUCGGGUAAUUCGGGUUUUUGAAACAUUGGGUUUCCAAAAUGAUGCCCGAAUUUAGCCCAGAAAAAUGAUAACCCGACAAUUCGGGCUCGUGCUUCGGGAAAUCCUGAAUUAUAGCUCAUGUGGGAGACGAGGAGGCGAGGAGCUAGAGCAGGGCAGGAGAUAGCUCGUCUCGCUACAUCGCAUCGCCAUGUCGCGCUCGUGCUAGACUCAAAUGAGUGGAGAAGAUGGAGGAGGCAAGGAGCUGUGGUUGGGUCGCACCGUCGCCGGCCUCAUGUUGCAGGCAGUGCCAUGGGUGGCGGCGAGCGGCAACGGUACCACAGACGGGAGUGGCGGCGACCAUUUUCCUUUUCUAGGGAGUUGCGGCGGCUGCUGCCUGGCUGCCUGCAUGUACGCUAGGUUUAGGGGAAAAGGAGAGCUUUGGCGGGCUGAGCUGGGCCUGAAGUAGAAUAUUCGUAUUGGGCUGCUGUGAUGUGCUGUGCUUCAUUCUAGUUUGGGCUGUUCGGUUUAUUCGGGUACCGUAUGUUAAAAUCCUAAUUUCCUGAAUUAUUUUCGGGCUUCCAAAUUUGAAACCUGAGUUAGCACCGGAUUUUGCGGGCUUCGGGUUAUCCGGGUUUUUCGGGUUUUCUGCCCACCCUGAUUCCGAGGUGGUGGCAGCAGGGGGUGAUGCAAAGUAGAGCUGGGGAGACUGCUGAAAACAGCUGGUGACCAGACUGGCCAUGUUUUUGUUUAAUUCUUGAGACAUGCAGUAUAGUGUCCCGAGGUGGUGGCAACGGGGGGUGAUUGCAAUGUGGAGCUGGGGAGACCGGGAGACCACUGAAGAUGGAGAUUUAACGGAUAAAAAAAAGGCACUUAUUACAGCUGGUGAUCAAACUAGCUAAUUUUUUGUUUCAUUCUUGAGGAAUAUAGUAUUUUUCUUCUUCUUUAUAUUUGAUGCACACGGGCCAGGAUUGUGUUUGAACUAUGGGACUAGUGAUUCACUUGUUCACAACUCACAUCACAAGCAUUUAUCAUCUCAUAUCCACUACAUGCAGUUGCAUUCCUUGAUCUUGCCUGGAGAGAUGGCUGCGUUGUUCCGGUAACAAGAGGGCGAAGGUACCAUUGCCCUCAGUGUGGUAAACGGUUUCAACACAAGCUUAUUAUCAACCUCUAUGCACCAGAAAAUAUGUUGGAUGGUUGCUGCUAUAUACAGGACGGUCAAGUUGCACAAGGACCUACACAAGUACCGCCUGCAUACAUGGCGUCUGUAAUGCAAGGCAUCAAUGGCAUGGCAUCUAUAAUGGAAGGCAUCAAAGACAUCAAGGUGAAGCUUGAUAGCAUUAGCGACAGGUUUGGUGAUCAGAACGCCCGGCUGGAAGAGAUCAAAGAGAAUCAGUUGCUCAUCAGCGAUAGGCUUACUUCCAUCGAGUCCGGUGUGAAUCGCCUUGAAGCAGCAUCAGUACCUUCGACGCAUCCUCCUCCUCCUCCUCCUCCUUCCUGCUAAGGUGCUGGUCUGGCUUCCUUUUUGGUAGAGUACUUUUUUGCAAAUGAGAAUGUUUCGAGGGUCUGAAGAAGUUGUGUGCUUUCAGAGAUUUAGGGGUUAUAGAGUUUACCUAGAUAUCGUCUGUUGCUGCGUUCGUGCAUCUUCUUUGAGGCUAAGCUACUUAUCCUUAUCAGCUUAUCAAACAUCGUGUCUCCUAUCUCUACUUGUGUGUUUACUUUGGCUCUGUGAUGUAAUCUUUGUCCAAAAAAUUGCCCCUUCGGAUGUUUGAUUUUGUGCUGCGUGCAUAUAUUCAAAUUCGUGUUGGUUAUUCUGCCA